GAUGAGGAACGUAGCGAAAUGCGAUACUUGGUGUGAAUUGCAGAAUCCCGUGAACCAUCGAGUCUUUGAACGCAAGUUGCGCCCGAAGCCAUCAGGUUGAGGGCACGUCUGCCUGGGCGUCACAUAUCGUUGCCCAAUGCCUAUUGCAGUGCAAUAGGAAUUUCUAGGGCGAAUGAUGGCUUCCCGUGAGCGUUGUUGCCUCGCGGUUGGUUGAAAAUCGAGUCCUUGGUAGGGUGUGCCAUGGUAGAUGGUGGUCGAGUUAGAACGAUACCGAUCAUGUGCAUGCUCCCCAAAAUAUGGCCUCUAUGACCCACACGCGUCUUUUGACGCUCAUGACGAGACCUCAGGUCAGGCGGGGCUACCCGCUGAAUUUAAGCAUAUCAAAAGCGGAGGA
rnacentral:misc_RNA from 1 species